GGUUGGUGUAAUGGCAGCACGACUGACUUUACGGAGUAGUUAGUCUAGGUUCGAAUCCUAGUCCGGCA
rnacentral:tRNA from 1 species